CGCUCUAACCAACUGAGUUGGUUAGAGCGUCGCACCGGUAUUGCGAGGUCACAGGUUCAAACCCUGUUGA
rnacentral:tRNA from 1 species